UCCCUGGUGGCUCAGAUGGUAAAGCAUCUGCCUACAAUGCAGGAGACCCAGGUUCAAUCCCUGGCUCAGGAA
rnacentral:tRNA from 1 species